CCCACCCGUGUUUAUUUUACCUUGUUGCUUCGGCGGGCCCGCCUUAACUGGCCGCCGGGGGGCUUACGCCCCCGGGCCCGCGCCCGCCGAAGACACCCUCGAACUCUGUCUGAAGAUUGUAGUCUGAGUGAAAAUAUAAAUUAUUUAAAACUUUCAACAACGGAUCUCUUGGUUCCGGCAUCGAUGAAGAACGCAGCGAAAUGCGAUACGUAAUGUGAAUUGCAAAUUCAGUGAAUCAUCGAGUCUUUGAACGCACAUUGCGCCCCCUGGUAUUCCGGGGGGCAUGCCUGUCCGAGCGUCAUUUCUGCCCUCAAGCACGGCUUGUGUGUUGGGCCCCGUCCUCCGAUCCCGGGGGACGGGCCCGAAAGGCAGCGGCGGCACCGCGUCCGGUCCUCGAGCGUAUGGGGCUUUGUCACCCGCUCUGUAGGCCCGGCCGGCGCUUGCCGAUCAACCCAAAUUUUUAUCCAGGUUGACCUCGGAUCAGGUAGGGAUACCCGCUGAACUUAAGCAUAUCA
rnacentral:rRNA from 1 species